AGCAGAGUAGAAAUCUGUGCGUUAAGUGCCGCAUGAACGGGGAGUUGUCAUGCGGACGAAAAGCCGGUAAGGCUUGCGGUACGGAAUUCGCAUCCCGCUGCU
rnacentral:ncRNA from 2 species